GUGAACGCUGGCGGUAGGCCUAACGCAUGCAAGUCGAACGGCAGCACAGUAAGCGCUUGCUCUUACGGGUGGCGAGUGGCGGACGGGUGAGGAAUACAUCGGAAUCUACUUUUUCGUGGGGGAUAACGUAGGGAAACUUACGCUAAUACCGCAUACGACCUACGGGUGAAAGCAGGGGAUCUUCGGACCUUGCGCGAUUGAAUGAGCCGAUGUCGGAUUAGCUAGUUGGCGGGGUAAAGGCCCACCAAGGCGACGAUCCGUAGCUGGUCUGAGAGGAUGAUCAGCCACACUGGAACUGAGACACGGUCCAGACUCCUACGGGAGGCAGCAGUGGGGAAUAUUGGACAAUGGGCGCAAGCCUGAUCCAGCCAUACCGCGUGGGUGAAGAAGGCCUUCGGGUUGUAAAGCCCUUUUGUUGGGAAAGAAAAGCAGCAGGUUAAUACCCCGCUGUUCUGACGGUACCCAAAGAAUAAGCACCGGCUAACUUCGUG
rnacentral:rRNA from 1 species